rnacentral:lncRNA from 1 species
GGGAGGGGAAGGGGGAGGAGGAACAUCCUGUCAGGAAAGCCGUUAGUGAGUGUGUGAGUUCACCACACUUGUGGCAUCUGUGCACAUCAAGAUCUGCUGUAAGGCCUUCCUCAGACUGUGUUGAGACAUGCCAGAGAGGCUGCAGGGCUGAGUGUGCACAUCUCUCCCAAAUGCAAGGGCUGGAAUUGAACAUGGGCAACGGAAGCCCUGGAAAGUAAAAGCAAAGGCAAGCGUGAAGUGCCGGGAGACAGAAGCUGGAGCUUCUCUGCACAGUUCUGAACUGAGACAGUUCCAGGUCCAGGAAGCAGCCUGAUGGACACAUUCUUGCCCACAAGGCAUCUAGAUGCUUGUGUUAGGCUUAUGUGUCUGAGGCUGCUCAGCACCUGGGAACUCAGCUCUGGAUUCUGAACCUUGACAUCCUCUCCUCCCAGCUACAUUGUUCCUAGACCUCACCCUGGACCACUCAGCUCAGUGAGCAAGAGCAUCCCACAGGCUGCCACUCCCAUCCAUGCCUUUGAUCCAUCUGACGGAACAGCUACUGGUGCCUGUGGCUCUUUUGCUCUAUGUUGCCAGAGCCAACUAACCAGUGCUAGGCUGCAGGAAGCCAAAAAUAGCCACACUGGACAGUCAUGGGUAGAGCGUUAAACACCCUAGUGGCCCAUUUGCAAAAAAAGAGAAAAUGGGUGAAAUUGAUCAGAAAGAUGCGUUCUGUGCAACCUAAUAUAUUAAAAAUGCCACACUGACACAUGAUAGUGUUAAGAGCUUUUCCAUCAAGGCAUUUCAAAAUGUACUUAGGUUUGGAUAUGCAUGUGUGUGUUCAUGUACGUGCAUGUGCACAUGUUUAUGUAGGCAAGAGGUCAGCCUUGAGUGUUUUUCUUCAGAAUUAUAUCUAUCUUGGUUUUUGAGACUCUUUGAUUCAUCCAGGCUGGCUGGUCAGAGAUCCCCUGGGAGUCUCUGCUUUCCCAACACUGAGAUUAUCAAGGAGUAUUAGCACAUCUGGAUUUAAAAAAAAAAAAAAAGAAAAGAAAAAACAACUGGGGACAAAGCUUACACAGCCAGCAAAUUACUGAGUCAUCUCCCCAACUCAGUGUUAAAGUUACUCAUGAGAGACAUUACUUUUCUUUGGUCUGUCUUCAAAAUUUGGUUGUUUAUACUCCAUCGUAUUUGAUUUGGGCUAGUUCAUCAACUGAACAGCCACACGUGUCUGAUGGCUACCAUAUUGGACAGUGUAGAUCUCAAGUGGUCUAAGAGUUUCAAGCGAUCACUCGUAACUUAAAACUUAAGGAACUGUAAGAAUUUAAAA